AACUAACGCUGGCGGCGCGUCUUAAACAUGCAAGUCAAACGGGUAGCAAUACCAGUGGCGAACGGGUGAGUAAUACAUGGAUAACCUACCUUUAAGUUGGGAAUAACACAGAGAAAUUUGUGCUAAUACCGAAUGUGACGGUUCAGCAAAGGCUGGAUUGGUUAAAGCAGCAAUGCGCUUAGAGAUGGGUCCAUGGCUGAUUAGCUAGUUGGUGGGGUAAAGGCCCACCAAGGCGACGAUCAGUAGCCGGCCUGAGAGGGUGAACGGCCACAAUGGAACUGAGACACGGUCCAUACUCCUACGGGAGGCAGCAGUUAAGAAUCUUGCUCAAUGGGCAAAAGCCUGAAGCAGCGACGCCGCGUGAACGAUGAAGGUCUUCGGAUUGUAAAGUUCAGUAAGUAGGGACGAAAAAAAUGACGGUACCUACCUAAAGCACCGGCUAACUACGUGCCAGCCGCCGCAGUAAAAC
rnacentral:rRNA from 1 species